GACGAACGCUGGCGGCGUGGAUUAGGCAUGCAAGUCGAACGGUAUCAUCCUUUCGGGGGUGAGAGAGUGGCGAACUGGUGAGUAACACGUAGGUUAUCUACCCUCAAGACGGGGACAACCCAGGGAAACUUGGGCUAAUACCGGAUGUGAGCAACUUUUAGUUGUUUGAAAGGUGGCGUAAGCUGUCGCUUGGGGAUGAGCCUGCGUCCUAUUAGUUAGUUGGUGAGGUAACGGCUCACCUAGGCAAUGAUAGGUAGGCGGCCUUAACGGGUGGUCGCCCACACUGGGAUUGAGAUACGGCCCAGACUCCUACGGGAGGCAGCAGUGGGGAAUAUUGCGCAAUGGACGGAAGUCUGACGCAGCGACGCCGCGUGAGCGACGAAGGCCUUCGGGUCGUAAAGCUCUGUUCUUGGGGACGAAUAAAAUGACGGUACCCAACGGAGAAAGCCCGGCUAACUACGUGCCAGCAGCCGCGGUAAACCUCGUCUCUA
rnacentral:rRNA from 1 species